GACAUGAUGGCCGAGUGGUCUAAGGCGCCAGAUUUAAGCUUACUUAAGUGCAAACCCUGGUGGGGAAACCCGCAUGAGUUCGAACCUCAUUCAUGUCA